UCGCCUUUUAGAGAAGGUGUGAGCCCGCCCCAAGACUGGCAAUUGGAAGGGCUUGCACGCAGAGCUGGGUUGUCCGAACCCUGACAUAAUAGGUCCCUCGCCGGCUCCCGUAAUCCUAGGUAGAUGACUUUGGCCCCGUUUCCGGCAAGGCCACCACCUGACUUCUCUUCGCAGGAUUCCCUCUCUUAAGGUUCCUCCACGGUGUUCUCCAUGCCCGGUCGAGGGCUCCAGGACUUUGGGCGGUAAUGAGUCGGCUACAGUGGGUCUGAGCCGGCGCCGCGGACGAGUCCCUUCGUUUCAGCCAGUUUGGCUCGUUUAUUGAGAAAAGUGGGGGGCGAGGGGUUAGUAUGUAAGAAAGUCUUCAAGUUUCCACAUGGUUAAGGUGCCAGACUUAUAUCACAGUCUGGAGCAUCCCCCACCUUCUCCUGCUCUCAUCCCUUUUAUCCUUCAUAGAUGUUUCUGCCAGUUGAUCUCUUACAUGUUUUUAUGGGCUGAAUUGUAUCUUCCCCCAAAUUCAGAUGUUAAAGCCUUAACCCCCAGUAUCUCAGAAUGUGACUGGAGCUAGGACCUUUAAAGAAGUGCUCAAGUUCAAUGAGGCUGUUAGGGUGGGCCCUAAUCCAGUCCUGACUGAUGGCUUUAUAAGAAGAGGAAAUUUGGAUACACAGACACCAGGAGCAGGUGCACACAAGAGAAAUGGCCAUGUGAAGACACAACAAGAAGGUGGCCAUCUGCAAACCAAGGAGAGAGGUUCAGAAGAAGCCAAACCUUCUGACACACUGAUCUUGGACUGCUAGCCUCCAGAACUGUGAGGAAAUAUAUUUCUGUUGUUUAAGCCA